GUCUGUACCAAGAUAACUGUCUUUAAAAGUUACUGGAUUUUCUACCAAAAAGAAAUAUUCUGUUGGUUUUUGACAAAGGUAAAGUUUAGACCUUGUCAUGCCAUCUAGACUUUUAUACUGUUAGAAACAGCCGUUCUAACAUUUCUGCAAGUUCUCCCAUGCAACUGAGGAUUAUUUUUUUUUUUUCAAUCAAAUAUAGGAAGGUCAUACAAAAGACCUGAGCUACGCAAAGAUACCUUCUUAUACUGACAGUAGCUAGAAUGGAGUGAAUGAAGCACCUGUGUCAAGUCCACCUGGUUCUCACAGCCUUUCCAGUUUAUUACAGCUGUAUGAACUCCUCAUAUUGACCGAGUAUGUACAAAUAUGCAUGUAGACAUAUAUUAUCCUUCAGCUGAUUCGAAUAACUUCGGCUCACGAAUAAGUAUCUCAGCAGCUCUCGUGUCUUAUCUAAAGGGAACCCUGACAGAAAACUGGAAUCUCAGCCACUGCGCACAAGAAAGUCGUUGAUGUGCUCAGACAAUGUACUUCAGGGAAACCCCAGGAUGACAUUCUUGGAGAGCCUGAUCACUGCAAUGAUCUCAGCAUGAAGGACGUUCUCGUAUAGAUCCUAUAGAUCCUCUUGGCCUCACCAUUCAGGAUGAGCAAAUGCAUCUUCUCUGCCCGGGAAAAGGAAGUAGAAAAAGAAGCAGUUAUGUGGGUAAGUGGAGUAUGUUGCGCUUAAGAACCUUGAAAUGUUACGGAGCCCUCGCUUAGCCUGUGGAGAUCUCAAAAUGGAAAAAUCCAAGG
rnacentral:lncRNA from 1 species